AAAAUUGGGAAGUCCAUGAAUGCUCUGUACAAGCACAAAUCAAAAUCAAUCCGGCAACUUGCCCAGACCCUCGUCAAAUUUAUUUAAGAUUUCACUCAAUAGGAAUGGGACCUAUUCCUUGGGUUCUGAUGUCAGAGGUAGCAUUCGGCCUAAUGAUGCUUCAACAACUUGG